rnacentral:rRNA from 1 species
GAUGAACGCUGGCGGCGUGCCUAAUACAUGCAAGUCGAACGAAACUUCUUUAUCACCGAGUGCUUGCACUCACCGAUAAAGAGUUGAGUGGCGAACGGGUGAGUAACACGUGGGCAACCUGCCCAAAAGAGGGGGAUAACACUUGGAAACAGGUGCUAAUACCGCAUAACCAUAGUUACCGCAUGGUAACUAUGUAAAAGGUGGCUAUACUACCGCUUUUGGAUGGGCCCGCGGCGCAUUAGCUAGUUGGUAGGGUAAAGGCUUACCAAGGCAAUGAUGCGUAGCCGAAUUGAGAGGUUGAUCGGCCACAUUGGAACUGAGACACGGCCCAAACUCCUACGGGAGGCAGCAGUAGGGAAUCUUCCGCAAUGGGCGAAAGCCUGAUGGAGCAACGCCGCGUGGGUGAAGAAGGUCUUCGGAUCGUAAAACCCUGUUGUUAGAGAAGAAAGUGCGUGAGAGUAACUGUUCACGUUUCGACGGUAUCUAACCAGAAAGCCACGGCUAACUACGUG